AAUGUGUCAGCAGUAAAGGGUACAGGGC
rnacentral:sRNA from 1 species